CCAAUAGCGUAUAUUAAAGUUGUUGCAGUUAAAAAGCUCGUAGUUGAAUUUCGAGAUCAAUUUGUUGGUCGUGCCUUGGUACGUACUGGCAUUAUUGGUUUCUCCCUUCUGAAGAACCAUGAUGUUAUUAAUUUGGUGUCAUGGGGAAUCAGGACUGUUACUUUGAAAAAAUUAGAGUGUUUAAAGCAGGCUCGCGCUUGAAUACUUUAGCAUGGAAUAAUGAAAUAGGACGUUUAAUUCUAUUUUGUUGGUUUCUAGGAUUGACGUAAUGAUUAAUAGGGAUAGUUGGGGGCAUUAGUAUUCAAUUGUCAGAGGUGAAAUUCUUGGAUUUAUUGAAGACUAACUACUGCGAAAGCAUUUGCCAAGGAUGUUUUCAUUAAUCAAGAACGAAAGUUAGGGGAUCGAAGACGAUCAGAUACCGUCGUAGUCUUAACCAUAAACUAUGCCGACUAGGGAUCGGAUGAUGUUAAUUUUUUAAUGACUCAUUCGGCGCCUUACG
rnacentral:rRNA from 1 species